UACGGAGGGUGCAAGCGUUAAUCGGAUUUACUGGGCGUAAAGCGUGCGUAGGCGGUUUAGUCAGUUGGAUGUGAAAGCCCCGGGCUCAACUCGGGAACUGCAUUCAAUACUGCUAGACUAGAGUAUGUGAGAGGGAAGUGGAAUUUCAGGUGUAGCGGUGAAAUGCGUAGAGAUCUGAAAGAACACCGAUGGCGAAGGCAACUUCCUGGCACAAUACUGACGCUGAGGCACGAAAGCGUGGGGAGCAAAC
rnacentral:rRNA from 1 species